rnacentral:lncRNA from 1 species
UGGGAUUUAGAACCAAGAAGUACCCAAUAAGCAUGGACAUAGAAAAGGCUUUCUUACAUAUUGGAUUAGAUGAGAAAGAUCGAGAUUUUAAUCGCUUUUUUUGGUUGAGCAACACAGAUAAUCCCAGCAGUACUCUUACAACAUAUUGAUUUAAAUCUAUUUUGUUUGAUGCAACAAGUUCACCGUUCAUCCUAAAUGCAACACUGCUUAAACACUUGGAUGCAUGCGAAAAGUAAAAACACAAACAUACUGAACUCCGAGGAAAAUUCAAAAAGGAAAAUCAAAAAUCAAAAGGCAAAAUCAAAAGUCCAAACACAUCAAACGAAUGGAUAACAACUGUCAUAUUCCUGACUUGGUACAGGCAUUCUCUAAUGUAGAAAAUGGUGGAUUGAACCUGGUUUUAUAGCUAGCUAAACCUCUCACUUGUAUGACAGUCGUAUCAAAUUCCAUAACAUUGUCAACGAUGCAUGAACAAAACAAACAUACUCAAAGAGUAAAAAAUGUCAAAAAUAGGGGUACAGC